rnacentral:lncRNA from 1 species
UACCCGCUCUCCCGCCGCGAUCCGGCCCAGCCGCCAGCUGCCGCUUCCCCCCGGCGGAGUUCGGCCCCGCUCCGCCCGGCUUCCAGGGGACAGCGAGGUGGCAGGUUAUGCGGUAUCCGCCGCGGCCCUGGCUAAAGAAGUCACUUUCAAGAGAUCUGGAGAAGUAAGAUGGCCAAAUAAAAGCCUCUACCAAUCAUCCUCCCCACAGGAACACCAAAUUUAAGAACUAUCUACACAAAAAAGCACCUUCAUAAGAACCA